AAUUCUCAACCCCUCUCGUUUUCGAGGGGGAGCUUGGAUGGUGGGGGCUGCCGGAGACUAGGACUCGUCCUUGACUCGGGCUCUCCUUAAAUGCAUCGGCUUGCGGUCGACUUUCGAUUUUGCGCGACAAGGCUUUCGGCGUGAUAAUGAUCGCCGUUCGCUGAAGCGCAAGAAUGAAGGUUCCGUGCUUCUAAUACCGUCGACGGUUACUAUCUCUUCGGAGAGAAAAGCGUCUUCCUUUAUUGAC
rnacentral:misc_RNA from 1 species